rnacentral:rRNA from 1 species
AACGAACGCUGGCGGCAUGCCUAACACAUGCAAGUCGAACGAGACCUUCGGGUCUAGUGGCGCACGGGUGCGUAACGCGUGGGAACCUGCCCUUAGGUUCGGAAUAACUCCCCGAAAGGGGUGCUAAUACCGGAUAAUGUCUUCGGACCAAAGAUUUAUCGCCUUUGGAUGGGCCCGCGUUGGAUUAGCUAGUUGGUAGGGUAAAAGCCUACCAAGGCGACGAUCCAUAGCUGGUCUGAGAGGAUGAUCAGCCACACUGGGACUGAGACACGGCCCAGACCCCCCCGGGAGGCCGCAGUGGGGAAUUUUGGACAGGGGGCGAACGCCUGACCCAGCAUUGCCGGGUGAGUGAUGAAGGCUUUGGGGUUGUAAAGCUCUUUUACCCGGGAUGAUAAUGCCGGUACCGGGAAAAUAAGCCCCGGCUAACCCCGU